GACGAACGCUGGCGGCGUGCUUAACACAUGCAAGUCGAACGCUGACGCUUGGUGCUUGCACUGGGUGGAUGAGUGGCGAACGGGUGAGUAAUACGUGAGUAACCUUCUCUUUAUUCUGGGAUAAGCACGGGAAACUGGUUCUAAUACUGGAUCUUACAUGCUACUGCAUGGUGGUGUGUGGAAUGGGUUUUAGUGGGUUUGGAUGGGCCGACGGCCUAUCAGCUUGUUGGUGGGGUAAUGGCCUACCAAGGCGACGACGGGUAGCCGGCCUGAGAGGGUGACCAGCCACACUGCGACUGAGAGACGGAGCAGUGGGGUAUGGGGGGCAGCGGUGGGGAGUAUGGCACAAUGGGCGGGAGUCGGUGGCAGAGACGCUCGGUGAGGGAUGCCGGCCUUCGGGGUAUAAACCUCUGUCAGUACGGAAGAAGCGGGUGUGACGGUACGUAAAGAAGAAGCGCCGGCUAACUACGUG
rnacentral:rRNA from 1 species